AGUAUUAGUAGUAGUUGUACUGUAGUUACUUACCCUGAGGUUGUAGCAGCGGAUAGUCUGGUCACUGGAGCCAGAGUAAAGUAGUAGUAUAGUAGUAUUAUAGUAUUAGUAGUAGUUGUACUGUAGUUACUUACCCUGAGGUUGUAGCAGCGGAUAGUCUGGUCACUGGAGCCAGAGUAAAGUAGUAGUAUAGUAGUAUUAUAGUAUUAGUAGUAGUUGUACUGUAGUUACUUACCCUGAGGUUGUAGCAGCGGAUAGUCUGGUCACUGGAGCCAGAGUAAAGUAGUAGUAUAGUAGUAUUAUAGUAUUAGUAGUAGUUGUACUGUAGUUACUUACCCUGAGGUUGUAGCAGCGGAUAGUCUGGUCACUGGAGCCAGAGUAAAGUAGUAGUAUAGUAGUAUUAUAGUAUUAGUAGUAGUUGUACUGUAGUUACUUACCCUGAGGUUGUAGCAGCGGAUAGUCUGGUCACUGGAGCCAGAGUAAAGUAGUAGUAUAGUAGUAUUAUAGUAUUAGUAGUAGUUGUACUGUAGUUACUU